GACUUUACUUCGCCGGGACCAGGGUGAUCAUGAAUGCCCUGGCCACAGGUGGAGGCUCGCAUUUGCACUUCGGCGCAUUGAAGCCUGCGACGAUCCAUAAUCAGGCUCGCUCGGACGCGUGAUUGUUGCUAGUAGGGAGGUCUUCAGAUCAUCCUUU
rnacentral:snRNA from 15 species